ensembl:lncRNA
AUGCAGAGCUCAAAACGUGUUGAAAGCUGCAACCAACAAAGAUACCUCAUAAAAGCAGCAAAACAGCAACAGCAAACAGAGGCCAUGUGUACGUCCUGGAAAGCAGCCUUCUCCUUGGCCUUGAUUAAUGAUGACAGUUCAAAUCUACCUCAAUCUCUCCCAUCGCAUUCUUAAUGCUGAAGAGCUGCUUGUAUGUUCCCUUAACCCAGCCACAGGGGAUUUAUGGGUGUGCACACAUACCAGGUAAGAAAAACAGAAGGUUGGCAGACCCGAGUAAAGGCAGCAGAUGCAGUUGUAGACACCAUGGUUAGCAUUAACAAGCACAGAAAAAAUAUUUCUAUUUUCCUGUGAAGCUGAAGCACAGACUGAACAAGACAGACAUACAGAUAAAGAAGACCAACCACAAUAGCACUGUACCAGGAAAUAUAUUAGGUGCCCAUCCAAUUAUCUUACGUGGUCAAAUACAAAAGGAAUCCGUGUACAGGGUCAAUGGUAGCCUUCAUUCCUGACUUUUUCUGGUGAGAUUUUCAUUGAAACCUGAGUACUCUUUCCACAUUAAAAUGUCUGCUUUUGAAACUAAGUUACUACUUAUAUGAACACAUCAAAGAGGCAUUAGCAUGAAAGAGGGAAAGAUCAUUAUGUCAUCCAGCUCACUUCCUUGCCAAGUAAUGAAUAUCGCCCUCAUUCCUCUUCCCAAAGUAUUGGUCAAAUCCUGUUUUUAAAGCCUCAGAGAUGGGCAUCCAUCCUCUCCCUCAGAGGAUAUUUAUUCCACAUUUUAAUAGUUUUCACAAUUAGGAAACUUUUCCUGAAAGUCUGUCCAAUUUUUCUUUGCUUAAUUUCUUUCCAUGGCCAUUUAGUAAUGGCUUAGAGUUCUGAAAAUCUUUCAAAGGCAGUUGAUCUGGAAAAGGGUGACGGAAAGUGUGCAUGAUGAGACUGGGGCGAAGCAAGCCUAUCAGGAGCAUCUAAAACCACUUGGAUUUCCACUAUGACUUCUGUGUUUACCUUAUCACAUUUUCAUAUCUAUAUAUAAAACCAUGAACUGGAGUUUGUAGAAAUUAUCAGAAAUCUUCCACAGAACACUGUUUUUUGGCUUGAAAAAAAAUUAACACAGGUCAUAGAAUAAUACUAGCGAAAAAAUCAGUUAUUUGUAGCCAACUUAACCAAGCGUGUGGUCCCGUUUUUUUCCCACUAUAGUGGGUGAAGGUUGGUGAGGGCAUUAAAGGAACGAGUAAACCAGAGAAAUAAUUUACUCCUCAAAACAGUCUUAAAUACCCAAUUCAAGGAAAUCAAAAUUUGGUCACCUAAUGAGAAAAAAAUGGACACAUUUUGAAGAAGUCAUAACUUAAUGCUCUACAUUCUUGGAUUUUAUCUCUCUAAGCCCUUCAUUUCUCCUACCUUCUAACCAACUAAAGACAAAAAUCACAAUAAAAACUCAAAGCAUAAAAAUGCCUUAAUUGAAACAACAAGCAUUUCUAGUCAUUUAUAAAAGUAUAAAUGCCUAGAAUACAAUUACAAAUCAAAUUUAAUACUUUGUGUCAUUUUAUGUUCACCUUUUGAGGAAUUAAAAGAUAUCCAAUAAUAGAAAAGAUAUCCAAUAUAUUUGGCCAUAGAGCAUCUUUGGAGGGCAUAGUGUUAUUUUCUGUAUUGCGAUUUUAUCUAAUAUAUCCACGUGAUUUGAUAUAACAUGUGUUUCCACCAAACCCUUAAUAAAUUUAUUAAUUUAAAUGGUCCCUUGAAUGCAAUUUAAGUACAUAAAAUUAGUUUUAAAGUAAUUUUGAGUGCUUCUCAUUAUAAACCAUUUAAAAUGUAAUAGAACUUUCAUUAACUGCAAUAUCAGGAUCCACAGUCUUGUUUCCCUAAUGAUGACGUUUAUUCACGAUGACUUCAGAUACUAAAAAUUCUUUUUCAUUGUUAGCUGACCUUUGCAU